GAAUAUUGAGUGCUUGCACGAGAUUGGAUUUGGAUUGCCAUUUAGUGGCAGACGGGUGAGUAACACGUGGGUAAUCUACCUCAAAGACUGGGAUAGCGGUUAGAAAUGACUGCUAAUACCGGAUGAUUUAUAUUUAGGAAACUAUUUAUACUAAAAGGAGCUUUUGCUUCACUUUGAGAUGAGCUUGCGGCGUAUUAGCUAGUUGGUAGGGUAAUGGCCUACCAAGGCGACGAUGCGUAGCCGAACUGAGAGGUUGAACGGCCACACUGGGACUGAGACACGGCCCAGACUCCUACGGGAGACAGCAGUUAGGAAUAUUCGUCAAUGGAGGAAACUCUGAACGAGCAAUGCCGCGUGAGUGAUGAAGGUCUUUAUGAUUGUAAAACUCUGUUGUAGAGGAAGAAACCUUACUAUAGGUAAUGAUAGUAAGCUGACAGUACUUUACUAGAAAGCCCCCGGCUAACUACGUGCCAGCAGCCGCGGUAAUACGUAGGGGGCAAGCGUUAUCCGGAUUUAUUGGGCGUAAAGGGUGUGUAGGCGGUUUAUUAAGUCUAAGAUCAAAUGCUGGAGCUUAACUCCAGUUCGUUUUGGAAACUGGUAGACUUGAGUAUGGUAGAGGUAAGUGGAAUUUCUAGUGUAGCGGUUAAAUGCGUAGAUAUUAGAAGGAACAUCAGUGGCGAAGGCGACUUACUGGGCCAUUACUGACGCUGAGACACGAAAGCGUGGGGAGCGAAUAGGAUUAGAUACCCUAGUAGUCCACGCUGUAAACGAUGAGUACUA
rnacentral:rRNA from 1 species